rnacentral:rRNA from 1 species
UACGGGGGGGGCAAGCGUUGUUCGGAAUUACUGGGCGUAAAGGGUUCGUAGGUGGCCCGCUAAGUCAGACGUGAAAUCCCUCAGCUCAACUGGGGAACUGCGUCUGAGACUGGCAGGCUCGAGUGCAGGAGAGGAACGCGGAAUUCCAGGUGUAGCGGUGAAAUGCGUAGAUAUCUGGAGGAACACCGGUGGCGAAGGCGGCUCACUGGCCCGGUACUGACGCUGAGGCACGAAAGCGUGGGGAGCAAACAGG